UACAGAGGGUGCGAGCGUUGUCCGGAAUCACUGGGCGUAAAGGGCGCGUAGGUGGCGGCCCAAGUCCAUGGUGAAAGCUCGAUGCUCAACAUCGAGUCGGCCACGGAUACUGGGUUGCUCGAGCACUGUAGGGGCAGAUGGAAUUACCGGUGUAGCGGUGAAAUGCGUAGAGAUCGGUAGGAACACCAGUGGCGAAGGCGGUCUCCUGGAGCUGGCUUGACGCUGAGGCGCGAAAGCUGGGGGAGCGAACGGGG
rnacentral:rRNA from 1 species